rnacentral:tRNA from 1 species
GCACUAGUAGCUCAGCGUCAGAGCGCCGCCCUUGUAAGCCGGUGGCCGGAAGUUAAAAUCCUCCCUCGUGCU